AGGGAAUAUUAGUAAUGGGCGAAAGCCUGAACUAGCAACGCCGCGUGUGCGAAGAAGGCCUUCGGGUUGUAAAGCACUUUUUGAGAGGAUGAGGAAGGACGGUACUCUCAGAAUAAGUCUCGGCUAACUACGUGCCAGCAGCCGCGGUAACACGUAGGAGGCGAACGUUAUCCGGAUUUACUCGGCGUAAAGCGCGUGUAGGUGGUUUGGUAAGUAGGGCGUGAAAGCUCCUGGCUCAACUGGGAGAGGCCGUUCUAAACUGCCGAACUAGAGGAUGGUAGAGGGAGGUGGAAUGCCGGGUGUAGCGGUGGAAUGCGCAGAUAUCCGGAGGAACACCAGUGGCGAAAGCGGCCUCCUGGACCAUUCCUGACACUCAGACGCGAAAGCUAGGGUAGCAAACGG
rnacentral:rRNA from 1 species